AUUGAACGCUGGCGGAAUGCUUUACACAUGCAAGUCGAACGGCAGCACGGGGCAACCUGGUGGCGAGUGGCGAACGGGUGAGUAAUACAUCGGAACGUGCCCAAUCGUGGGGGAUAACGUAGCGAAAGUUACGCUAAUACCGCAUACGAUCUACGGAUGAAAGCGGGGGAUCGCAAGACCUCGCGCGAAUGGAGCGGCCGAUGUCAGAUUAGGUAGUUGGUGGGGUAAAGGCUCACCAAGCCAACGAUCUGUAGCUGGUCUGAGAGGACGACCAGCCACACUGGAACUGAGACACGGUCCAGACUCCUACGGGAGGCAGCAGUGGGGAAUUUUGGACAAUGGGCGCAAGCCUGAUCCAGCCAUUCCGCGUGCAGGAUGAAGGCCUUCGGGUUGUAAACUGCUUUGUACGGUAACGAAACGGCGAGCUCUAAUACAGUUUGCUAAUGACGGUACCGUAAGAAUAAGACACCGGCUAACUACGUAGCCAGCAGCCGCGGUAAU
rnacentral:rRNA from 1 species